rnacentral:tRNA from 1 species
GGGGUUAUAGCUCAGUUGGGAGAGCGCUUGCAUGGCAUGCUAGAGGUCAGCGGUUCGCUCCAGCUUAGCUCCA